AAGCAGAUACUUUGUUUUUUCCUUUUCUCCUCUCUGUCACUACACUCAUCACUGCCUAGUCUUUCUCCUGCUUCAACUAUCUACUCUACUCUUAAACCCUAAUCCCAAUUGAAGGGGAAAAAAACACACCAUGAAUUACCUUCAUUUCUGCAUUUUACUCCUCUCAGCUCUCUCAUUCUCAACCCAAUUACGCAUUACACACUCCUUUGAAUCAGUAACAAUCUAUGAUCUUCUCAAAGCGUACAAUUUACCCAGAGGCUUAUUCCCCAAGGGCGUCAAAGACUUCAGCUUCGAUGAUUCUGGAAGUUUCCAGGUUUAUCUAGACCAGCCCUGUAAUUCUAUGUACGAGAAUGAAUUACACUAUGAUCGAAACAUUUCGGGGGUUUUGUCUCUGGGUCAAAUUGAUCAGCUUUCGGGUAUUUCCGCUAAAGAUUUGUUCUUGUGGUUCCAGGUCAAGGAAAUUCGGGUCGAUAUUCCCAGUUCUGGCUUGAUUUAUUUUGAUGUUGGUGUUGUUUCUAAGCAAUUCUCUUUGUCUUCUUUCGAAACUCCUAAAGAGUGUUUGGCUGUUCAGUUUUCCGAUUCUCGAGUAAUUGUCCAACAACCUCCUGCUGCUAAGAGUUCAAAAGCAAAUUUUGGAUAUCAACUUCGUCACAAAGAUUUGGCAAGGGCCGUUUUCUAAGAUGUCCAGAGUGGCAGUGAAUUAAAUUUUGAAACUGUUCAAUCAAGACCAUGGGUAUUUCAUUCCUUGUACAUGCAUCUUUAAAGAAUUCUGGUAGCAUGUGGUUCUCGUGUCUCAUUAAAGUGUGUUGCUUGCGGAUUUUGGUAUAUAGAAUUAGGAGGCUGCAAGGCAUCAAGCUAGUUCAUGUUCCUUAGCGAUUAGUGCUGAAAUUUGCAGCAGUGUCUUUAGAUAAAAAUGUCUCCUCCAAAGGUUUAGAGGACAUAUAAAUGGCGAGAAGGUUUUCUUUUGAUGUUAAAAUUUGUUAGAAGUAUUUGUAACUAUUUACUGUGAACAAGUCAAGUUUGCUUCUUUCUUUUGGUUGUUGUGUGAAUGAUAGUUUCUUUGGUUUUAAAAAAUAUACAGUAGUCUUUAUA